AACGAACGCUGGCGGCAGGCCUCAAACAUGCAAGUCUAGGGGGUGUAGCAAUACAUCACCGGCGGACGGGUGCGUAACACGUGGGAAUAUACCUUUUGGUUCGGAACAACGCAGGGAAACUUGCGCUAAUACCGAAUGUGCCCUUACGGGGAAAGAUUUAUCGCCAAAGGAUUAGCCCGCGUAGGAUUAGCUAGUUGGUGAGGUAAUGGCUCACCAAGGCUCCGAUCCUUAGCUGUUCUGAGAGGAAGAUCAGCCACACUGGGACUGAGACACGGCCCAGACUCCUACGGGAGGCAGCAGUUGGGAAUCUUGGACAAUGGGGGAAACCCUGAUCCAGCCAUGCCGCGUGAGUGAUGAAGGCCUUCGGGUUGUAAAACUCUUUCGA
rnacentral:rRNA from 1 species